UGACACCAAAGCUAAGAGCCCAAUCAAGCAGGAGAGACCACCCUCCCCUGUACCCAGCUGUGUGUCCAUGAAGAGUGACCAGUCUAUGAGUCCUCCUAUAUUCUUCAGAGAGGGAGACUUUUCUACUGAACAAAGAAACCAACAGGAGAGAUCAGAGUCAAAUAUUCGCAGUGGUCAGUUUUCCCAGAGUCAUCAAACAGACCUGGCCUCCAUAUUCAGUUUGCUUGAAGAGAAUAUUAUGACAUUUGUGAAGAACGAG